GACGAACGCUGGCGGCGUGCUUAACACAUGCAAGUCGAACGGAAAGGCCCUGCUUUUGUGGGGUGCUCGAGUGGCGAACGGGUGAGUAACACGUGAGUAACCUGCCCUUGACUUUGGGAUAACUUCAGGAAACUGGGGCUAAUACCGGAUAGGAGCUCCUGCUGCAUGGUGGGGGUUGGAAAGUUUCGGCGGUUGGGGAUGGACUCGCGGCUUAUCAGCUUGUUGGUGGGGUAGUGGCUUACCAAGGCUUUGACGGGUAGCCGGCCUGAGAGGGUGACCGGCCACAUUGGGACUGAGAUACGGCCCAGACUCCUACGGGAGGCAGCAGUGGGAAAUAUUGCACAAUGGGCGGAAGCCUGAUGCAGCAACGCCGCGUGCGGGAUGACGGCCUUCGGGUUGUAAACCGCUUUCGCCUGUGACGAAGCGUGGGUGACGGUAAUGGGUAAAGAAGCACCGGCUAACUACGUG
rnacentral:rRNA from 1 species